rnacentral:tRNA from 1 species
GCCCCCGUUCCACGGAUGGAACACGACGUGGCGAACGUCGAUGACGGAGGUUCGAGUCCUCCCGGUGGCACCA